rnacentral:lncRNA from 1 species
GCACUUUGAAUAAAUUUCAAAAGAGCUCUUCUAAAUCAAAAGAGGUUGCCUUAGUGUGACAUUAAAUGGUGAAAUGGACAUGAUAUGUGUCAUUCUUCAAACAAUAAAACUCAAAAAUGGGCCUAUUCAAGCACUUCCACAAUUAAUUCUAUUUUUCUUUUUUAUGCGUUUUGUUUUAGAUUUUUUUUUUAAUCAUGAUGUUUUAAUUAUAUUUGUGUUUAAUUUUUAAAAGAAUAUUUUUUAUAUUAAAA